GUUGGCACUACAGACAAUGUCUUAGAUUGGACGAUCUAGCUUGCCUGGAGUCUAGAGUUGGUCUUAUGCCAGGAAACUUCAGGGGUAUGUCUCCUUGUAUUUAGGCCAAGGUUUUCCCUUUUCAUGUCCCCCAUAUUUUGGUGGGCCAGUGCAAACAAUUAUUGCCACUCUAACACAGUUUUUACUGUGCUCCUUUGACUCUUAUCCUUAAAAAGAAAAACCAACUUUUGAGGUUAAUUAAACUAAUAUGCAUGUGCAUGGAAAUGUAAAAAAGUACUAUGCCUUCAAUGUUUAAGGAGUUACAUAAGUUUUAUGGCUUUAGAUUGCUUGAUGUGCUGCUAAGAAAUAUGUAUUACAAUCUGGGAACUUGAGGAAUAAAGUAAUUGUACACGGGUUCUGUUUUAUUUUUCGUAAUGUUCUUUGGCUGAAAGUUCAAUGUUAAGAUAUCAACAAGGGGACUUCUGUGAAUUCUGUUUAUGGGUGAUUGUACUUCCACUGUAA